rnacentral:rRNA from 1 species
GCAAGUCGUACGAGAAAUCUUCAGCUUGCUGAAGAGAGUAAAGUGGCGCACGGGUGAGUAACGCGUGGGUAAUCUAUCCUUGAAUCGGGGAUAACGUUGCGAAAGCGACGCUAAUACCGGAUAACAUCGUAAAGACUUCGGUUUUUACAAUCAAAGAUGACCUCUACCUGUAAGUUGUUGUUUGAGGAGGAGCCCGCGUACCAUUAGCUAGUUGGUAGGGUAACGGCCUACCAAGGCGACGAUGGUUAGCGGGUCUGAGAGGAUGAUC